rnacentral:rRNA from 1 species
CCCUUAGAUGUUCUGGGCCGCACGCGCGCUACACUGAUGCACUCAACGAGUCUCACCUUGACCGAAAGGUCCGGGAAAUCUUCGAACUUGCAUCGUGAUGGGGAUAGAUUAUUGCAACUAUUAAUCUUCAACGAGGAAUACCUAGUAGGCGUGUGUCAUCAGCGCGCGUCGAUUACGUCCCUGCCCUUUGUACACACCGCCCGUCGCUCCUACCGAUUGAAUGGUUUAGUGAGAACUCGGGACUGGCACUAAGAGGCUGGCAACAGCCUAUUAGAGCCGGGAACUUGCUCAAACUUGAUCAUUUAGAGGAAGUAAAAGUCGUAACA